GCUUUGACAGCACAGACUAAAACUGGAAUGAUUCUCAGAAGAUUAGCUUCGCCCCUGCACAAGAUGGAUAUGCAAAUUUGGGAAGCAUUCCAUAUUUUU
rnacentral:snRNA from 1 species